rnacentral:snRNA from 1 species
GUACUUGCUUGGGCAGCACAUAUACUAAAAUCGGAACGACACAGAGAAGAUUAGCAUGGCCCCUGUGCAAGGAUGACACAUAAAUUCGUGAAGCGUUCCAUUUUUUU